AUUGAACGCUGGCGGCAGGCCUAACACAUGCCAGUCGAACGGUAACAGGAAGAAGCUUGCUUCUUUGCUGACGAGUGGCGGACGGGUGAGUAAUGUCUGGGAAACUGCCUGAUGGAGGGGGAUAACUACUGGAAACGGUAGCUAAUACCGCAUAACGUCGCAAGACCAAAAAGGGGGACCUUCGGGCCUCUUGCCAUCGGAUGUGCCCAGAUGGGAUUAGCUAGUAGGUGGGGUAACGGCUCACCUAGGCGACGAUCCCUAGCUGGUCUGAGAGGAUGACCAGCCACACUGGAACUGAGACACGGUCCAGACUCCUACGGGAGGCAGCAGUGGGGAAUAUUGCACAAUGGGCGCAAGCCUGAUGCAGCCAUGCCGCGUGUAUGAAGAAGGCCUUCGGGUUGUAAAGUACUUUCAGCGGGGAGGAAGGGAGUAAAGUUAAUACCUUUACUCAUUGACGUUACCCUCAGAAGAAGCACCGGCUAACUCCGUG
rnacentral:rRNA from 1 species